rnacentral:rRNA from 1 species
AAUGAACGCUGGCGGUGUGCUUAACACAUGCAAGUCGAGCGAGAAAGUUCUUUCGGGAAUGAGUAAAGCGGCGAACUGGUGAGUAAUAUACGAGAAUCUACCCUUUAGUGAAGGAUAUCUCCGAGAAAUCGGGGUUAAUACUGCAUUCGUCCCUCCGGGGAGAAAGGUGGCUUUAUGCUGCCGCUGAAGGAUGAGCUUGUACGCUAUUAGCUUGUUGGUAAGGUAAAAGCUUACCAAGGCUAUGAUGGCUAGCCGGCCUGAGAGGGUGUACGGCCACAUUGGAACUGAGAUACGGUCCAGACUCCUACGGGAGGCUG